GCCCACUGCCGCACGGGGGCGUGGCCAGAAUCUGCCCGGAGGCUCACCACGCCCCGCUUCACAAACUCUGCAAGCCAGGCACACAUAUUACUAACAAGCUCUGGAUCCUGUUAAAAGAGAACAUCAGUCACGAAGCACAAGCACAGAAGCCCCUAAGGAUGCUUCCAGAAUUAUGGAGACGUGUACCAAAUGAAGCUGAGGAGAGAAUUCUUAAUGAUGAAGAACUGUUGGAAGCAAGACUGGGAAGGGCUGACCUAUGACUUCUAGCAAAUAACACAACUGUGUCUCCAGAACUGAGUGGAUACUGAGACCCUAAGCCCAUACCUGCCCAACCUAUAGGAGGAAGUAGCCUUGGGGAUGUCACUGUGGUCCUGCCAAUGGCCCAAGGCUCAUUGAGCUCAUUGCUUUCUGGGGAAAGUGGUUUUGCUUUAUAUGUCUUAACAUCUGGGGAGAGAGACCACCUGUACAUCGCAGGAAGCACACCAGGACAACUACAGCAUGAAGCACACCAGAACGACUACAGCAUGAACAGGCUUGGCGAAGGCCACUGGUAAAAGGCAAGGUGUCCUCUCACAAGGAUACCAAUGUCACCAAAACGAAGUAGAGGAGCCAAUCUAUACCAGUCACUGCAGUCACUAUCAAGGAGAUUAAAAUACCUCUGCUCAGCCCUAAAAAUGAUGAGCGGAAAAUAAAUUAUGAGACAUUAGCAAUCUAAGGAGAAAGCUGUAGAAUAGCACAUUGUUUAGAAGUAAGACCUUAGCACUUCAAGGCUCUUUAGUGGAUGCUGUGCUUGUUAUUGUCAGGUAUAGACACCUAGUAAGAAAGAUGGAUAUCCCAUCAUGUAUUUUAGGCUAAUAGUUGAGUGUGAUGAAAAGAAGAUCUUAAUAAGGAAGAAAUCUGAAUUUCCCUUAAAUAAUAACAACAAGCAAAUAGUUGGGCAAAUGGAAUGGCUUGUGUUGGUAGAAGUCAACUUAUUUCUCAAAAAAAAAAAAAAGUAAAAUGUUACCUUUUU
ensembl:lincRNA 4930412F09Rik RIKEN cDNA 4930412F09 gene